AUACUACCUCGGCAGGGGAGAUACCACGAUCCAGGAAGGGGUUCGCCCAGGGCCCGAGGGCUAAACCCAUUGCACUCCGGUUAUGCUGACCCCUGCGAAUUCCCCAAAUGUGGGAAUCUCGACUGCAUAAUUUGUGGUAGUGGGGGACUGCGUUCGCGCUCUCCCCUG